CCUCGAAAUGGCAAACCCGGCGAAAGCCGGGGACGCGAAGCCACGGUCCCUCACUCUACUUGAGAGACGGGAAGCCGAGCUACCGAAA
rnacentral:ncRNA from 1 species